UACGUAGGGGGCAAGCGUUGUCCGGAUUUAUUGGGCGUAAAGAGCGUGUAGGCGGCCAGGUAGGUCCGUUGUGAAAACUCGAGGCUCAACCUCGAGACGUCGAUGGAAACCAUCUGGCUAGAGUCCGGAAGAGGAGAGUGGAAUUCCUGGUGUAGCGGUGAAAUGCGCAGAUAUCAGGAAGAACACCCGUGGCGAAGGCGGUUCUCUAGUACGGUACUGACGCUGAGACGCGAAAGCGUGGGGAGCGAACAGG
rnacentral:rRNA from 1 species